rnacentral:miRNA from 1 species
AACACACCUAGUCAACCUCUUU